GCAAAUGGCUCCGUUGGUAAAGCAGGAGACUCUGGAUCUCAGGGCCGUGGCUUCGAGCCCCACGUGAGGCA